AGCUUCCUACCGUUUCAAAAACACGCCGCACAGACUGCAGCUCUCACACUGAGACGGCGUUAAUCAUGGCAACUAUCAGAUACGACAGAGACGCUCUCAUUGCUAUCGGAUUACAGUCUACCUGCCAACUAACACCGGACCCAUGCUGGCCAGCAGAGAUCCAGAGGGGGCCCAAUGAACGCCACAGGAGGAAGACGCACCGGGGAAAGCGAGCUGGCGUCUCGAAAUGGCUGAAGUACCGCGCAGGGCUGCCUACUAUCCUGCUGUCCAACAUGCAGUCUCUGGAGAGCAGCCUCCAGGACCUCCAGGUCACGGAGAAGUUUCAGAAGGACAUCCAAAACUGCAACCUACUCUGCUUUACCGAGACACGGCUCAACCCAGCAGUGCCGGACCACGAAAUCCAACUGACAGAGUUCUUCUCAGUUCAUCGCAUGGACACGGCGGACCCGGGGAUGUUUGGGGGAGGCGGUUUGUGUCUCAUGGUAAACCGCAAGUGGUGCGACAGCGAGAACAUCGCUCCAGUUGCGCACUUUUACUCACACAACCUAAAGCUUCUGAGCAUCAGAUGUCGCCCCCUGCACCUCUCCCAGGACUUCUCCUCACUUCUGGUGAGCGCGGUGUCCAUCCCACCUCAGGCAAACACAGACGGCGCCUUAUUAGAACUGCACUGGGCUCUGACCCAGCAACAGGUUCAACACCCAGACGCUGCGCUCAUCGUGGCCGGGGACUUCAGCGGCGCCAACCUCACACGCGUCAUGCCAGACUUCCACCAACACAUCUCCUCCUCCUCCUCCAAGGCUCGGCACUGUUACACCUCUUUCGGAGACGAGUACAAGUCACAAUCCUACAGUCCGUAUGGGAAAUGUGUUCACGCCGCCACCUUCUUCAUGCCUACACGCACACAACAGGAGGCGCCGAUUCACAGUGAGGUCACACCGUGGUUGGGCCAAUCGGUGUCCGUCUUGCAGCACGCUGUGGAUACUGCAGACUGGAAGAUGUUCAGGAGCUGGGCUGGUUUCUUGUUUCACGAGCCAUUCGAUCUGCUGCGAAUAUAGCGCAGCGUCAAGGUGGUCAGCAUGGACAAAUCAGGUGCAUCCUGUCAAAAGUUUAUCGUGGCUUUCACCUCUGAAGAUUGAUGUUCUCAUCAUCUGAUGCAGGAGGAGGGAGACAUGAGCAUGCUGACUGCAGGAGGCUUUUAAGGACACAGACCUAAAAGAACACUGUACAGAAAAUGAUGCAGCAAUAAGAAUGUUAUGGUUUGGCAUAAAGCAGUGUCAACUCUGAACCCUGUUACAUGCUGAAACCACAAACUUACAGCAGACAAACCAAAGCUCUAAUCCCUUUAAGCAAUGUU
ensembl:lncRNA